GGGCGAGAGAGCAGUGGGCUGUGGAGCACAAACCAAAAAGUCAAAAGUACAAAAAACAGUUUCAAUUCUGAUUUCAAACACAGUUCUAGUCUAAAAUUUUAAGAAUGUAUCGCAUUGUGCUGUUCAUGCUGCCGAUAGUGGCAAAUCGGGUCUGGAACUCGACGAAGCUUGUGAUGGUACGCGGGGAGCCCCCCCAGAUGGCCGAAAAUCUGUUGAUGUCCCGGCUAACCGUCCCAGGAGAACGUAAGAAUGGCAAUUAGAAAGUGGCGGCAACCUAAAAAACCCC
rnacentral:sRNA from 1 species